rnacentral:rRNA from 1 species
AGCAGCCGCGGUAAUUCCAGCUCCAAUAGCGUAUAUUAAAGUUGUUGCAGUUAAAAAGCUCGUAGUUGAAUUUCGGGGUCAGUAGGUUGGUCGUGCCACUGGUAUGUACUGGUCUUACUGAUUCCUCCUUCCUGAUGAGCUGUAAUGCCAUUAAUUUGGUGUUGCAGGGAAUCUGGACUGUUACUUUGAAAAAUUGAGUGUUUAAAGCAGGUUAACGCUUGAAUACAUUAGCAUGGAAUAAUGAAUAGGACGUUCGAUCCUAUUUUGUUGGUUUCUAGGAUUGACGUAAUGAUUAAUAGGGAUAGUUGGGGGCAUUAGUAUUCAAUUGUCAGAGGUGAAAUUCUUGGAUUUAUUGAAGACUAACUACUGCGAAAGCAUUUGCCAAGGAUGUUUUCAUUAAUCAAGAACGAAAGUUAGGGGAUCGAAG